rnacentral:rRNA from 1 species
UGGUAGUNCACGCCGUAAACGAUGAGAGCUAGGUGUUGGAUCCUUUCCGGGAUUCAGUGCCGCAGCUAACGCAUUAAGCACUCCGCCUGGGGAGUACGACCGCAAGGUUGAAACUCAAAGGAAUUGACGGGGGCCCGCACAAGCGGUGGAGCAUGUGGUUUAAUUCGAAGCAACGCGAAGAACCUUACCAGGUCUUGACAUCCCGAUGCUAUUUCUAGAGAUAGGGAGUUACUUCGGUACAUCGGUGACAGGUGGUGCAUGGUUGUCGUCAGCUCGUGUCGUGAGAUGUUGGGUUAANNNNNNCAACGAGCGCAACCCCUAUUGUUAGUUGCCAUCAUUCAGUUGGGCACUCUAGCAAGACUGCCGGUAAUAAACCGGAGGAAGGUGGGGAUGACGUCAAAUCAUCAUGCCCCUUAUGACCUGGGCUACACACGUGCUACAAUGGUUGGUACAACGAGUUGCGAGUCGUGACGGCGAGCUAAUCCCUUAAAGCCAAUCUCAGUUCGGAUUGUAGGCUGCAACUCGCCUACAUGAAGUCGGAAUCGCUAGUAAUCGCGGAUCAGCACGCCGCGGUGAAUACGUUCCCGGGCCUUG